GAAAAAUAGUUUGUAAAAUAUGAUUUUUGGGGUUAUGAAAACCCUGUUUCUGUAUUCUAAAAGGGGGAAUGAAUAGAAAAGAAAAAACGAAAUCAAAAUCCUCAAAAAGGUGAUUAAUAUAUAUUUUUUCUUUUUUCCUUAUGUUUUUCUCGUUCAAUUUUUUUCUUUUUCUUUUUUUUUCUCUGUUUUGUUUCGUGGAAUAACAAAAGGGGAAGUGAGGGACUUACCAUAGAUUCGUGGACUUCUCGUCGGCUCAAAUCUCCAUUAUUGGUGGAGCUAUGGCAGAUGAGCGACGGACGGUGGCAUAGAGGCUAGGGUUGAAACCCUAGCAGAGAACAAGAGCAACAAUUUUUUUUAGAAACUCAGGCUGCAAAUGUUUUUUUAUUAAAUUUUUUUUGUUUAAAU
rnacentral:lncRNA from 1 species